CCUUACACAUGCAAGUCGAACGGUAACAGGUCUUCGGAUGCUGACGAGUGGCGAACGGGUGAGUAAUACAUCGGAACGUGCCCAGUAAUGGGGGAUAGCUCGGCGAAAGCCGGAUUAAUACCGCAUACGCCCUGAGGGGGAAAGUGGGGGAUCGCAAGACCUCACGUUAUUGGAGCGGCCGAUGGCUGAUUAGCUAGUUGGUAGGGUAAAGGCCUACCAAGGCGACGAUCAGUAGCUGGUCUGAGAGGACGAUCAGCCACACUGGGACUGAGACACGGCCCAGACUCCUACGGGAGGCAGCAGUGGGGAAUUUUGGACAAUGGGGGAAACCCUGAUCCAGCAAUGCCGCGUGUGCGAAGAAGGCCUUCGGGUUGUAAAGCACUUUUGUCAGGGAAGAAAUCCUUUGGGCUAAUACCCUAGGGGGAUGACGGUACCUGAAUAAUAAGCACCGGCUAACUACGUGCCAGCAGCCGCGGUAAUACGUAGGGUGCAAGCGUUAAUCGGAAUUACUGGGCGUAAAGCGUGCGCAGGCGGUUGUGUAAGACAGGUGUGAAAUCCCCGGGCUUAACCUGGGAAUUGCAUUUGUGACUGCACGACUAGAGUGUGUCAGAGGGGGGUGGAAUUCCACGUGUAGCAGUGAAAUGCGUAGAUAUGUGGAGGAACACCAAUGGCGAAGG
rnacentral:rRNA from 1 species